ensembl:misc_RNA Metazoa_SRP Metazoan signal recognition particle RNA
GCUGGGCGUGGUGGCAGGCACCUGUAAUCCCAGCUACUCGGGAGGCUGAGGCAGGAGAAUUGCUUGAACCCAGGAGGCAGAGGUUGCAGUGCAGUGAGCUGAGAUCACGCCACUUCACUCCAGCCUGGGUUACAGAGCAAGACUCUGUCUCAA